rfam:Emmonsia crescens TAMH 3008 supercont1.952, whole genome shotgun sequence.
GGCCGGCUGGCGUAAUGGCUAACGCAUCCGUUUCCGGCUCCACCAUCAGAUUUCCAUCUGAUGUUUUCCUGUCUGCGGAAGAUUGCAGGUUCGAGUCCUGCGUCGGUCG